rnacentral:tRNA from 1 species
GCCCGAGUGAUGAAACUGGUAGACGUACUGGACUCAAAAUCCAGCGAGGUUAAACUCGUGUCGGUUCGAAUCCGAUCUCGGGCACCA